rnacentral:rRNA from 1 species
UCCUACGGGAGGCAGCAGUAAGGAAUAUUGGUCAAUGGACGCAAGUCUGAACCAGCCAUGCCGCGUGAAGGAUGACGGCCCUCUGGGUUGUAAACUUCUUUUAUCUGGGACGAAAAAAGAUCAUUCCUGAUCACUUGACGGUACCAGAGGAAUAAGCACCGGCUAACUCCGUGCCAGCAGCCGCGGUAAU